rnacentral:misc_RNA from 1 species
GUCAGAUCAGAAAAAAAGGUUCUUUUUGCCCACAAGGGAUGCACAGUUACAUUAAUUCUGAAGAAGCAUUUACAUGAUCGUAAUGAAAAUAAAAGUAAUAUAAUGAAAGAAAACGUAUAAAACUAUCCACGUCCAUUUUUGUACAAAUACUGGAGACUCUGACCAGGGAACUUUUUCCACAAACAACCAGAAUGUUCUUAGACUGCACGAGCCCCCUCAGCACACUCCUUCCGUCAGUGAAAUUGAAAUAUGAUUAGUCAUUAUACUCCAAGAUCGAGGAACUUUCAUACAAUGGAAUCCCUCAAAGAUCAAAUUUUGGAAAUUUCAUACCCCGCUGCCAAUUUUAAAAUCUGAAAACGAGGAACUUUCUCGAGCUUCAACUACAGGCAUUGAGUCUUUCUUGUCCAGCCCGAAAAAGGAGCAAUUUUGAAAUGCAUCCAAGCUGCUGGCUAUCAGCCGGUUCAAACCGCUUAGGCUGUCACCUAAAAUAAACUCUUCGCUAUGGUAUUUAGAUGAGGGUAUAUCCAGAUCCAAUGGUCCUAAAGAUUCAGGCCAAUAGAUAUCUGUUAGCCCAGUGAAAUCUUUAGUCAAGUUGUCCACAACUAGUGGAUCAGGUGAACAAUCAUCCAUAGGUUCAGUUUCAGCAGGAUAAUCCACAGGCCCCUCUCCACUAGGCAAUCCCUCAACAAAAGCACCAGAAACCAUUGAGUUCAUCUGUUUGCCAGCCCCUGUAGAGACAGCAUCGAUUGAAGUAGGAAUUUCCUGGUGCAGCGCAUGAUUCUUUUGAAAUGAGAAGGCAUCACAUGUUUCUUCAGCAUCCCAGAUUGAAAAUAUGUGGGAUGCCACCGUGGAAGGAGAUACGAUCUUAUUCUGAUGUCUUGACAUAUGAGCAGCAAUAGCAGCAUCAAAUGAAUCACAGCUAAAUGGUAUUUGUUGAAGACAUUGGCUACUUUGAGCAAUAGGUAGUUCAAUGCAGUUAGGAUCUACAUCAUGAGGCACUUCUGACAGUAGAUCUCCAACACUAAUGUUGGUGAGGCUGUCAGCCCAUUCCCCAGCAGAUAAUGCAGCGCCAUUGCAGAGUCUCAGGUGACCUGCAGCAUCUGAUUGUUUCAUAUUUGUCCUAUCACCAGUCUCCUUUUCAUGCCAUGAUACCCUUGCUGAGUCAGAGGACCCAACAACGUUAUUUCUGGGUCCUGUUGCAAUGUGCCCACUUGGAUCAUUGGGCAUAUUUGUAGCCAGUGGUACAGAAGCAUGACUCUUGUUUCCUGUGGAUAGGUGAUCCUCACAGAGACCUAUAUUUUUCUCAGAUUUAUCAUUGGUUGAGAGUCCGGAUGUGGAUACAGAGUCCACAAUCUUUAUCUUUUCGUUUUCCGCAUCAACAGUAUUUCCACCUGGAAUGUAACUGGAUGCUGAAGGUGCUUGCAGCGUCCCAGACGCCAAUUCAAUGUUAGAAAACCAACCAUACCUCAAGCGGAACACUGGAGGGCUUCCAAUUGAAGUGUGUACAUCUGCUGCACUGACAAUGGUGUCUUGAGUCCAUCUCUGAUAACCAACAAAAUUUUCUCUAUGAGCACUGUAAGGGAAAAGCAUCAACUCUCCAGAUGCUAUGCUUGAAUUGCCCCAUUUCCGAUUAAGGUGUUCCAAUACCGAUGAUAUCUUUUUCCGAGCACUAAGAGUUAGCUCCAAGUGUGGAUUAUGUUUAUCCAUUUCUAAGGCUCUUCGAGUGCCAUCAUCAAUUGGGAACAACUGGAGCUUAAGUUUCAUAUUAGUCUGAGCAUUGACAUAAUGAUUUUGAGAAAAAGCAGAUAAAGGGAGGAGACCCUUUUCAAUGGCAUCAGGACUCUUAUGCUCUGGAAAAUAAAUUGUAAAAAAGUUGAGCUUAUGAAACAUCAGAAGGUAUUAAUUUCAAAUUCAUUGAGAAACAUAAAUUGAUGAUCAAUUCUCCUGCCAUACGGUGGUCAUGUUCAAUCUCUUUAUCAGUAGCUGUCCGCUCCAAAUGCUCAGCAGCAUCAGCAACUAAGGAAACCCCAGCAAUUGCAGCUUUUUCCCAUUUCUUAUAUGCAGCUUGUUUCCGUCUUUGCCUUGCAGGUUUCAUUGCAGUUGAGUCUCCUCUAUUGCCACGGAUAACACCUAUAUUAACAUUUCGCUUUAAUGAUCCCUUCCCAGCUCCUAACCUUUGUAAGUUUUGACUGUCCACCAGAACCAAUUUAACGGUUCUAGUUUCAUGUGUUGAUGCUCUAUUCUGACUUGUGACAGUGCUUGGAACUGGAGGAGAAACAUUUUCCACCUGUGAAGGCCGUUUCCUUACAUUCUUCUUUCGGUCUUUUAAGAGUUGGUUUUCCAGUGCUUCUAUAAAUAUCUUGAACCUUCGUGGCUUCAAGUGAAGCUUUGAGGCUUUGCAACUGUAUUUUUCCAAUAAGGACCACCAUCGAAGCAUUGCAGCAUUAGUAUCUUUGGAGUUUUUGGCAUCUAGACAUAAUCCUGGACCCAGCAAUUUGUUCAUACGCCUCACAAGACGAUAAUAAUAAUGUCUGACCUGAUCCUUGUUUUUGCUUUGGACACGACGGGUUAUCUUUUCAAAGUUCUUGCCAACUUGUCGUAAUGCAGUGAAGAAGCUUUCCUCCUCUUCACGUGUCCAAGCAGCCCAUUGCCGUGUUGGUUUUUUUGCUGGCUGUUGUGGAUUGACAUGAUCUGGGAUUGAUGAUGUUAUUCCAGUAUCCCCAUGCUGAAUUGAAGUAUUCUCAUUGUGAGAAUGUACCGUAGAGUCCAAGGAGACCUGUGACUCCAUCUCCAUGCUAAGGCAUCACAAGAAUACCAGAUACUCACACACUGCAACUUCAAAAGUUCACAGUAAUAUUCCCUCAGACCUCCAGCUUGGUGUAAAAUUCAAAAGCAGCAACUCCAGUUGAGUGAGGAUGAGCUAAAUACAAAUGAUAAAAAAGAUAACUAUGAGGACCAAGAUACAUUAAUGAAUGAUCACAAUCUAAAUUAUAACUAUGUUUGCUAAAAGAAACUGCAAUCUGGCUGGUUGAGAAUCAACUAUUCCUGUUUAACCAUGUCUGUUCCAUUAUCGGGACCAAAAGUCAUCACCUGAAAGGCCUUUAAAAGACCAAUUUCCUUUAUAUUCCCAUUGUUGAGAUGACAGUCUCAACAAUGGAGAAAUGUACAUAUUCAUAGGCUCCCCACUAUGUAAUCAGAAUAGCCAAUUGGUUUCAGCAUAUUGACCAUUAUUUAUCUAUUUGUUG